rnacentral:rRNA from 1 species
AUUGAACGCUGGCGGCAGGCCUAACACAUGCAAGUCGAACGAGUGGCGGACGGGUGAGUAAUGCCUGGGAAACUGCCCGAUGGAGGGGGAUAACUACUGGAAACGGUAGCUAAUACCGCAUACCAUCGGAUGUGCCCAGAUGGGAUUAGCUAGUAGGUGGGGUAAAGGCUCACCUAGGCGACGAUCCCUAGCUGGUCUGAGAGGAUGACCAGCCACACUGGAAAGUAGACACGGUCCGGACUCCUACGGGAGGCAGCAGUGGGGAAUAUUGCACAAGGGGAGCAAGCCUGAUGCAGCCAUGCCGCGUGUAUGAAGAAGGCCUUCGGGUUGUAAAGUACUUUCAGCGAGGAGGCGUUACGCGCAGAAGAAGCACCGGCUAACUCCGUGCCAGCAGCCGCGGUAAUUC